rnacentral:pre_miRNA from 7 species
CUUUAUUACAAGUUGGAAAAGCCCUCGUGGUUAAAAUGUAAGACCCCCUUUCGGGGACCCCCACUCUAGUCUCAGGAGUGUGAGAGCACCCAAAGAAACACGAGGACGU